UUCCAGACUCCUACGGGAGGCAGCAGUGAGGAAUAUUGGUCAAUGGGCGGGAGCCUGAACCAGCCAAGUCGCGUGAGGGAUGACGGCCCUAUGGGUUGUAAACCUCUUUUGCCGGGGAGCAAAGUGCCGCACGUGUGCGGUUUGGAGAGUACCCGGAGAAAAAGCAUCGGCUAACUCCGUGCCAGCAGCCGCGGUAAUACGGAGGAUGCGAGCGUUACUCGGAUUUAUUGGGUUUAAAGGGUGCGUAGGCGGACUGUUAAGUCAGGGGUAAAAUUGCGGGGCUCAACCUCGGCGUGCCGUUGAAACUGGGUGCCUUGAGUGGGCGAGAAGUACGCGGAAUGCGUGGUGUAGCGGUGAAAUGCAUAGAUAUCGCGCAGAACCCCGAUUGCGAAGGCAGCGUGCCGUGCCGCCACUGACGCUGAGGCACGAAAGCGCGGGGAUCGAACAGGAUUAGAUACCCUAGUAA
rnacentral:rRNA from 1 species